UACAUCAAUGGGCCAUUUUUAAUUCAUCUAGCAAGAAAUAAAUUGGGGAAUAAUUGUUUUUUGUAAAUACAAUAAAAAAUGGAAAAGUACUUUUUUUUUAUGAGCUUUAUUUUUAUUGUCUCUCCAGGUUUAACAACAGAAGAUUCAGUCACUAAUAUUGAAACAAAAGCCUCAGGUUCAGAAGGAAGUGGAGUGACACUCCAGUGCAGCUACUCAACAACUUAUAGCUAUGCUAUUCUUUAUUGGUACCGAAAGUAUCCAAACCAAGUCAUGCAAUACAUUCUGCAGAGAGGGGCCCGGUCAAAUAGUGGACACAGCGAUACUGCACAUUUUGCUCAGGAACGUUUUUCUUCUACAGCAGAAGAAGAAUCUACUACACUUACAAUUUCUACUCUAGUUCUGAGUGACACAGCCAUCUAUUACUGUGCUUUGAGACUCACAUCACUUCAUUCUCCUAGAACACUGAACAAAAAACUGCCUAACCACAGAUCACAAAGAUAA